rnacentral:rRNA from 2 species
UAAGCAUAUCAAUAAGCGGAGGAAAAGAAACCAACAGGGAUUGCCUCAGUAACGGCGAGUGAAGCGGCAACAGCUCAAAUUUGAAAUCUGGCCCUAGGCCCGAGUUGUAAUUUGCAGAGGAUGCUUUUGGUGCGGUGCCUUCCAAGUUCCCUAGAACGGGACGCCAGAGAGGGUGAGAGCCCCGUACAGUUGGACACCAAGCCUUUGUAAAGCUCCUUCGACGAGUCGAGUAGUUUGGGAAUGCUGCUCAAAAUGGGAGGUAUAUUUCUUCUAAAGCUAAAUACCGGCCAGAGACCGAUAGCGCACAAGUAGAGUGAUCGAAAGAUGAAAAGCACUUUGAAAAGAGGGUUAAACAGCACGUGAAAUUGUUAAAAGGGAAGCGCUUGUGACCAGACUUGCGUCCGGUGAAUCACCCAGCUCUCGCGGCUGGGGCACUUCGCCGGCUCAGGCCAGCAUCAGCUCGCUGUCGGGGACAAAAGCUUGAGGAACGUAGCUCUCUUCGGGGAGUGUUAUAGCCUGUUGCAUAAUACCCUUCGGCGGGCUGAGGUACGCGCUCCGCAAGGAUGCUGGCAUAAUGGUCAUCAGCGACCCGUCUUGAAACACGGACCAAGGAGUCAACCUUAUGUGCGAGUGUUCGGGUGUCAAACCCCUACGCGUAAUGAAAGUGAACGCAGGUGAGAGCUUCGGCGCAUCAUCGACCGAUCCUGAUGUUCUCGGAUGGAUUUGAGUAAGAGCAUAUAGGGUUGGACCCGAAAGAAGGUGAACUAUGCGUGUAUAGGGUGAAGCCAGAGGAAACUCUGGUGGAGGCUCGCAGCGGUUCUGACGUGCAAAUCGAUCGUCAAAUAUGCGCAUGGGGGGCGAAAGACUAAUCGAACCUUCUAGUAGCUGGUUUCCGCCGAA